GAGUUUGAUCAUGGCUCAGAACGAACGCUGGCGGCAGGCCUAACACAUGCAAGUCGAACGGUGUAGCAAUACACAGUGGCGCACGGGUGAGUAACGCGUGGGAACGUGCCUUUUGGUACGGAAUAACGUCGGGAAACUGACGCUAAUACCGUAUACGCCCUCCGGGGGAAAGAUUUAUCGCCAAAAGAUCGGCCCGCGUCAGAUUAGCUAGUUGGUAGGGUAAUGGCCUACCAAGGCUCCGAUCUGUAGCUGUUCUGAGAGGAAGAUCAGCCACACUGGAACUGAGACACGGUCCAGACUCCUACGGGAGGCAGCAGUAAGGAAUAUUGGUCAAUGGACGAAAGUCUGAACCAGCCAUGCCGCGUGGAGGAUGAAGGUCCUCUGGAUUGUAAACUUCUUUUAUAUGGGACGAAAAAGGCUUUUCUAAGUCGUCUGACGGUACAUAUGAAUAAGCACCGGCUAACUCCGUGCCAGCAGCCGCUGUAAC
rnacentral:rRNA from 1 species